rnacentral:rRNA from 1 species
AUUGAACGCUGGCGGCAUGCCUAACACAUGCAAGUCGAACGGUAACAGGCCUUCGGGCGCUGACGAGUGGCGGACGGGUGAGUAACGCGUGGGGAAUCUGCCUAGUAUGGGGGGACAACCUGGGGGAAACUCAGGCUAAUACCGCAUACGCCCUACGGGGGAAAGCAGGGGAUCUUCGGACCUUGCGCUAUUAGAUGAGCCUGCGUCGGAUUAGCUUGUUGGUGGGGUAAAGGCCUACCAAGGCGACGAUCCGUAGCUGGUUUGAGAGGACGAUCAGCCACACUGGGACUGAGACACGGCCCAGACUCCUACGGGAGGCAGCAGUGGGGAAUAUUGGACAAUGGGGGCAACCCUGAUCCAGCAAUGCCGCGUGUGUGAAGAAGGCCUGCGGGUUGUAAAGCACUUUCGGAUGGGAAGAAAAGCUCAAGGCUAAUAUCCUUGAGUCUUGACGUUACUAUCAGAAGAAGCACCGGCUAACUCUGUG